UCGGCCCAGACCACCACCUUGUACUCGCCUGGGUUGAGGAGGCGCCAGUAGUCCCCGUCAGCCGCUGAGCAAAAUGCAAGUGAGUGACCUCCUACAUUUCCCAGAAUGCCCUCAAUAAGCCCCCAGAGAAAAGUGAUUUAUUAUCUGAC